rnacentral:tRNA from 1 species
AUCUAAGUAGUUUAAUGAAAAUUUUGAUUUGUGGUGUCAAAGAUGUGAAUUGUUUUAUCUUGGAUC